rnacentral:rRNA from 1 species
GACGAACGCUGGCGGCGUGCUUAACACAUGCAAGUCGAACGGAAAGGCCUGCUUUCCCUUGUGGAUUGCGGGUACUCGAGUGGCGAACGGGUGAGUAACACGUGAGUGAUCUGCCCCCAACUUGGGUAUAAGCCUGGGAAACUGGGUCUAAUUCCCGAUAGGACUGCAGGGUGGUGCCUGUGGUGGAAAACGAUUUUCUAGUGGUUGGGGAUGAGCUCGCGGCCUAUCAGCUUGUUGGUGGGGUAAUGGCCUACCAAGGCGGCGACGGGUAGCCGGCCUGAGAGGGUGGACGGCCACAUUGGGACUGAGCUACGGCCCAGACUCCUACGGGCGGCAGCAGUGGGGAAUAUUGCCCAGUGGGCGGAAGCCUGAUGCAGCGACGCCGCGUGGGGGAUGACGGCCUUCGGGUUGUAAACUCCUUUCGACCGCGAGGAAGCCACCUGGUUGGAAGGGUGGUGACGGUAGUGGUAGAAGAAGCACCGGCUAACUACGUG